rnacentral:rRNA from 1 species
GAUGAACGCUGGCGGCGUGCCUAAUACAUGCAAGUCGAGCGAACGGACGAGAAGCUUGCUUCUCUGAUGUUAGCGGCGGACGGGUGAGUAACACGUGGAUAACCUACCUAUAAGACUGGGAUAACUUCGGGAAACCGUAGCUAAUACCGGAUAAUAUUUUGAACCGCAUGGUUCAAAAGUGAAAGACGGUCUUGCUGUCACUUAUAGAUGGAUCCGCGCUGCAUUAGCUAGUUGGUAAGGUAACGGCUUACCAAGGCAACGAUGCAUAGCCGACCUGAGCGGGUGAUCGGCCACACUGGAACUGAGACACGGUCCAGACUCCUACGGGAGGCAGCAGUAGGGAAUCUUCCGCAAUGGGCGAAAGCCUGACGGAGCAACGCCGCGUGAGUGAUGAAGGUCUUCGGAUCGUAAAACUCUGUUAUUAGGGAAGAACAUAUGUGUAAGUAACUGUGCACAUCUUGACGGUACCUAAUCAGAAAGCCACGGCUAACUACGUG